CCUACGGGAGGCAGCAGUAGGGAAUAUUGCACAAUGGGGGAAACCCUGAAGCAGCAACGCCGCGUGGGGGAUGAAGGUUUUCGGAUUGUAAAGCCCUUUUGUUAGAGAAGAUAUAGACGGUAUCUAACGAAUAAGCACUGGCUAACUCCGUGCCAGCAGCCGCGGUAAUACGGAGGGUGCAAGCGUUACGCGGAGUCACUGGGCGUAAAGGGCGUGGAGGCGGGAUAGCAAGUCAGAAGGGAAAUCCUAGGGCUUAACCAUAGAACUGCAUUUGAAACUGUUAAUCUAGAGUGUGGGAGAGGUAGGCGGAAUUCUUGGUGUAGGGGUGAAAUGCGUAGAUAUCAGGAGGAACACUCAUUGCGAAGGCGGCCUACUGGAACAUAACUGACGCUGAGGCGCGAAAGCGUGGGGAGCAAACAGGAUUAGAUACCCGAGUAGUC
rnacentral:rRNA from 1 species